rnacentral:rRNA from 1 species
UACGAAGGGGGCUAGCGUUGCUCGGAAUCACUGGGCGUAAAGGGUGCGUAGGCGGGUCUUUAAGUCCGGGGUGAAAUCCUGGAGCUCAACUCCAGAACUGCCUUUGAUACUGAAGAUCUUGAGUUCGGGAGAGGUGAGUGGAACUGCGAGUGUAGAGGCGAAAUUCGUAGAUAUUCGCAAGAACACCAGUGGCGAAGGCGGCUCACUGGCCCGAUACUGACGCUGAGGCGCGAAAGCUAGGGGAGCAAACGGG